GCCGGCGUGCCUUUGCUGGGGGCUGGUGGAGGCAGUGGGCAAUGGUUCGCUCAGCCUUAACCCAGAAGUUUCUGCCAUCCCUGGGGAGGCUGGGGGCCUAGGGAAGAAGCCAAAGCGAACGUCUUUCUUUUAGAAAUUAGCCAGGAGUAGACGCGGCACUUAUCAUGAACUCAAGCUCUCCCUCAAUGAAAAUAAGAAAGGAACUCAAGAUUAAAAAAAAAAAACAAAAAACUCUAGUCUCUCAAGUCCCUUAAUAAACUUUGUAGCUGUCUCAGACACGUUUAGUUUUGAAAAACGAGGGUACACCCCUGGCCCAGGAUCUUCCUUCCCAAGCACAGUUAAGGCCAUGGACAUUGGCUGCGUGUGGGAACUCGUCCCUUUCUACUUUUCUGUUCUUUCCCGGGAUUGUAGCAGUUUCCUCUACCUGAGUCCAGCCGCCAAAUACAACAGCUCCUUCCUUCCUCCACCCUUCUCUCUCACCAGAUUUCACUGCUCCAACAAACUCAGAACAAUAUUCAGAUGCUAGUGAAUGCUUUCAGAGGGCUGAAGGGUGAAAAUACUCCCCUCGGGGUCAAACUCCAGAUGAUGAAAUGAUUUUUAAAACACCACAACCAUGUCCUAACGUCCGAUACUAGUAUUCCAGCGUUUCUCUUCUCCCUUUUGCAGCUGGAAAUUUCUCUCUCAGUGUGGGCUUGAGCACCGUGGUGGAAGGUAAAGUAGGACGAUGAGCAGGGCUGCCCUGAGACAAAGCUCAGUGGAUCUUCAACUGCCUCCCCACCCCCAUGCCCGGUACCCAUCAUCUUGGUUUGAGCCAAAGUUAAUGCAUUUUACUGGAAACCAACCUUCCGUUCUAAUAUUACACAGCAGCAAAGUUUUCUUAAGCACCUAUGCUACAGAUGAGCUUGAUGUGUAGCUUGUUUUCUUAGCCACAUCUUGUCCACUUUGUGUGCCUACCUCAUCUCAUACGCUCCAGAAUGUGACAGCUGGAAGGGACCCUCGGGACCCUGUGGUUUAACCCUCUCCUUUUUACCACGGAGGAAAUCGAGACUCAGAGAGGUUUCCUGUCCAGGGACAUGCAUUCGGUUGGUACCGGAGUCAGGACUAGAUGCAAGUCUCCUAACACUCAGGGCUGAGAAGCGUCCCAUAAGCCAUCCCAGAUUUCUGUAAUCUUCACAACCUGAGGAGAGAGGCAAAGACCAAAAUAACUUAAGAGAAAACACCUGUGUCAUAGACAAGUGUUCAGAUGGGGUGAAUGAGCAAGCCGCCAGCGUCGCCAGCUCCCAGAUGCAGCGCUCUCACCCAAGUUCUGCAGCCCCAAAUGUUUCUGCGAAGGUUCACGGUUCCUUGCCCAGCUGCCCCUCCCACCGCAAGCACACAGUUUCAGUCCUUCCUCGAGGAUGUUUAUAAUGAGGCAGCACUCAACUCCACCAUUCUUCUAAGCUCACAUAUUUUUAGACUUUGGGAAUUUCACAGUCAUCUCCUUCUGACACUUUUAAUUCAAUUUCACAAAUAUUUACGGAGCACCUUCUAUUAAUUUGCUUAUUCCUUCUUUCUUUCAACAAAUAUUUAUUGAGUGCCUCCUCUAUGCCAGACAUUAUCCUUAGGCUCUGGGAACACAGAAGUAAACAAACAGAUUUAAACUAGAAUGAUGCUGACAUUCCAAAAAGGGGAGAGGAGACAGAAAAUGAACACAGCACAUGAAAGAAGUACAUACUAUGUAAGGAGGUGAAAAAUGCUAUGGAGAAACAAUAAGCGGAGAGGGAAAAGGAAGUGUUUCAAGGAUCACAAUGUGAAUAAGUGGUCAGGGAAGGCCUCAUGGAGAAAGUGGCCUUUGAGGCCAGG
rnacentral:lncRNA from 10 species